UACGUAGGCAGCGAGCGUUGUUCGGAAUUACUGGGCGUAAAGAGUGUGUAGGCGGUGCUCUAAGUUCGGUGUGAAAUCUCCUGGCUUAACUGGGAGGGUGCGCCGAAAACUGGAAGGCUUGAGUAUGGGAGAGGUAAGCGGAAUUCCUGGUGUAGCGGUGAAAUGCGUAGAUAUCAGGAGGAACACCUGCGGUGUAGACGGCUUACUGGACCAUAACUGACGCUGAGGCACGAAAGCGUGGGUAGCAAACAGG
rnacentral:rRNA from 1 species